GGAUUUAAGGGCAUCCUGGCUGUGACAUUUGUCACCCCAUUGAUUUCUAGUCGAUUCAGCUGAUCUGGCUGGCUUAGGGAGUGUCCCCUUCCUCUCAUUGCUCCACGUCCCUCUUGAAGCUGCACCCUUGGUCAGACAGGAUGGCUGUUCUUCGGUCAAGGGUAUACCAAUGGCUGUGCUCCCUGCUAGAACCUCUAAACAAGCCCCAAGUGUUCAUGUUGAUGCAAAGAAAUAUGAAAAAUAUAAUUAAUAAUCACUUUAGAAAACAAUUAGACAGU
rnacentral:snRNA from 1 species